AAAGAGCUUGUAGGCGGUUGGUCGCGUCUGCUGUGAAAGGCCGGGGCUUAACCCCGUGUAUUGCAGUGGGUACGGGCAGACUAGAGUGCAGUAGGGGAGACUGGAAUUCCUGGUGUAGCGGUGGAAUGCGCAGAUAUCAGGAGGAACACCGAUGGCGAAGGCAGGUCUCUGGGCUGUAACUGACGCUGAGAAGCGAAAGCAUGGGGAGCGAACAGGAUUAGAUACCCUGGUAGUCCAUGCCGUAAACGUUGGGCACUAGGUGUGGGGGACAUUCCACGUUUUCCGCGCCGUAGCUAACGCAUUAAGUGCCCCGCCUGGGGAGUACGGCCGCAAGGCUAAAACUCAAAGGAAUUGACGGGGGCCCGCACAAGCGGCGGAGCAUGCGGAUUAAUUCGAUGCAACGCGAAGAACCUUACCAAGGCUUGACAUAUACUGGACCGCAUCAGAGAUGGUGUUUCCCUUCGGGGCUGGUAUACAGGUGGUGCAUGGUUGUCGUCAGCUCGUGUCGUGAGAUGUUGGGUUAAGUCCCGCAACGAGCGCAACCCUUGUCUCGUGUUGCCAGCACGUUGUGGUGGGGACUCGCGGGAGACUGCCGGGGUCAACUCGGAGGAAGGUGGGGAUGACGUCAAAUCAUCAUGCCCCUUAUGUCUUGGGCUUCACGCAUGCUACAAUGGCCGGUACAGAGGGCUGCGAUACCGUGAGGUGGAGCGAAUCCCUUAAAGCCGGUCUCAGUUCGGAUCGGUGUCUGCAACUCGACACCGUGAAGUUGGAGUCGCUAGUAAUCGCAGAUCAGCAACGCUGCGGUGAAUACGUUCUCGGGCCUUGUACACACCGCCCGUCACGUCAUGAAAGUCGGCAACACCCGAAGCCCGUGGCCUUAUGGGGAGCGGUCGAAGGUGGGGCUGGUGAUUGGGACGAAGUCGUAACAAGGUAGCCGUACCGGAAGGUGCGGCUG
rnacentral:rRNA from 1 species